CAAUAAACGUAAUUCCUGGUAGAGUAGCUGCUUCCAUAGACUAUGAUCAUAUAUAGGAUCAUAGAGUCAUUAAGGUUGGAAAAGAACUCUAAGACAGAGCAAUUCUGUGCAGUUCUGAUCAAAUGUCUAAGGCAUAUACUUUUAUUCUUCUUUCAUCUUUCUCAGAGAUUCUAGGGAUAAAUGGAAUUUCUGGUAUUAUUUAUGUGUUACAGGUGAUAACUGCAUUGGGAUGAUAAAGACUGGGAUGAGAUGGGAAAUGACAGUGGACUGUAUAUUGUGUAGUUGUCAGCGCAUCAUCUUUUGCUUUGACCAAAGAGGUUUAUUGUAACAGGAAACCAAUUUCAGUACCAAACAGUGUCUGUACUGUCAGCUUAGUCAUAAACAGUUUGGAGUUAAAGAAAAGAAAUAAAUAUUUUUCUGUAGGUACCAGCUUUACUUGAGUCAAUCUCAUGCUCCUUUCUGAUAGAAAAUCAAAGGUUACUCGCAGUAGAGUAUUUGUAUCCUUGGUCUUAAAGUGUCUUAUGGAAAACGUGUCAUAUUAUCAAGCUUAGUUUGUUGAAGAUGAAAAGUGAUUGAGCCAACAUGCAGAAAGUCUUCUUUUGUUGACAGGACUUGUCUUCAACAACUUCUGGAAAGCAUGUGAGUCUGUCUGUAGAUGCUUUGUAGGCAGCAUCUGCAGAAGCCAUUUUCAGGGCCUUGUUUCUGUUGAUUUGCUUUAGCUGGUGCCAGUCUAUUGAAUGUGGUCAUAACAGUCCUGACCUAUUCCUCAGUUUUAAGUAGAAACAGUAGAAGAAAAGAGGGAGAUCAAAGGGAUGACCAGAGUGGUCCAUCCCUGUAUGUUACAAAAGCAAAUGUAGAAAUGAGUGCAGCAGUCUCUUCUGGAUGUGAAAGUCAAGUGUUUGUUUUCCCACAGAGAGCUUUACCAAGGAGUUGUCCCUUAGAGCUGUUGGCCACUAAUGGUAGAGCUCUCACAGUUUGCUUUUAACCACAAUACUGCCAACAAUUUAAUGGAAUUAUGCCUUUAUUUCAAAAGAUAUCUUGACAUUUCUUGGAAGAGGAUGGUGGCUGGCAUAAAUAUACCUAAAACAGGAAUAGAAGCGUGCUAUUCUUAGUAUAGUUUGGGGUAUUUUUCUUUUCUGUGGAAUACUUGAAGCUGUUAUAUCACUAACAGGAAUGACAAACUACGAAGUUUUGAUGGGAGUGCUGAGAUCAGACUUGAUAGCUCAGUUGAGAAGUCAGGCCCCUCCCAGAUAGCAGAUGAAGGUGAGCAGGGUGCGUAUCAGAUCAACACGGGAUUUUUUUUUGUCUCCAUGGUUCAAAUAUUCAGCAACGUUUUGUUAGUGAUUCCUUUUUGUAAGGAACCACUGGAGCGGAGUUAUUUUGAGUAAAACCAUAGGAAAUUGGAAAUAAGUAAUAAAAUAUGUAUGAGGGUACUAUGAGAGACUAGUUGCGAUAGUGCGUUUCUCUUCUGGAAUGAUGAACUACCACCUUUCAGUGGAGUGUAGUUGUGAUCAGGGUAGGAGGGCACGUGGUUUUUUGUUCUCUGCAUUGUUUCCUUGCCUGAAGACCAGGGGUUAGCAUGUCUUUAACUUUCUGGGCAUGUAUGUAUUAUCGCUUUUGAUACUAAAAAAUAAAUCUUUCUGCCAAGGAUUUCAUUUUUGGGGGUGAGAGCAUGGCUGUUAGUGCCUUGAAAUUGCCUAGAAUCCUGCAGUUGCCAAUGAGAUUGAUCCCUCCAGGUUCCAGAUAUGGAGCAGCAGCAUAGGUGAAUGACACCUGUGAAUGUCAUAGUAGACUCUUUACAGUCAGAGGAGGGCUAUUGUAGGACAUUUGGGGGUGACUUCUCAUUUUUUCUCAUGUAGAGACUGAAUUUAGUAGAUGAAACCACCAACUCUCUUAACUUGAUCCCUGCUACUUACAGGGUAACCUAGACAGCUGGUUUACGUGUGGACACCUAUAUUGUUAAGAAGUGAGGUAAAUACAAUCCAGGGUGAUAUGUGUGUUUUUGAUUUCGAUGCUUUGUGAGAAAUCUCAAUUUCUACCAGUGUGUCCUGAUACUUUUCUGUGGAAUUCUGUAGGACCCAGGGUCUUCUGUCUUUCAGAAUGGAUACAUACUAAAAUAGGCUUUUGCAGGGAAAAUGGGCAGAAUGGAGAAAUAUUACCACACUUUUCAUUUUUCUACCACACAUUCGUUUUGGAUUUCUCUCAGUUUGUGUGAAUUGAACAGAAGAGUGUAUUGGACCAGAAUAAUCUGUUCCAUUAAACUCUAAAAACGUAGUACCACUGUUCUGUCUGUCUGCCUUCAUUGCUCUGCCUUUAAAAUCCCAUAGAUAAUAUUGACAAAUUUUGUUCUGUUAUUGUAAUCAAAUUCUGUAAUGCAGUUAGCUGCUAGUCUUACAAUAUUCAUAGGGAUUGAUUAAAGAGAUGAUGAAUUAUGGGACUGUGUUCCUGAUGUUCCCAAAUUAUUCUGCCAUUUCUGGAAGUGCCAUCGACUGUUGAAAUAAUACAGGAAGAAGUUGACUUGAAUUGUGUUAGUAAAGUAAACGUGUAUCUAGCUAAGCAUUCUUAUUAAAUUUGUAAGCAUCUGCUGAAGUUACUGGACAGAAUCUUGCUCUUCUAAUGCUUGCACCUAGGUGUAAGUUUUAGCUGCCUGUUCAGUUACUUAGGUUUUAUGUUGGGUGAGUGGAGAGAAAUGGAGGCCAUUAGAGAGCUCCGGAAACAACUCUUGUCUAUGAUCUGCAACCUGGAUUACUCCCACUUUCUUGUAAAUGUAACCAUACUUUCUGGAGAGGAAAGCUAGCAGAAUUUUCUGUACGAAUGUGUAUAACAAGCAGAACCAAUUUGUGUGGGAUACAUGCAAAAUAAAGUGUUAAGGACUGUGGUUUUCAACUGUCAAGAUGCAGAGUUUUUUUGGGAGAAGCCCAUAACUUAUGAUAGUAACAGUGUAUGCAGUCGAGGUGCAAUAUGCAUGAUUUUCAGUAAAUUACGCUUAUAAGAAUACCAACAGGGAUGGCUGUUGGUUCCUCUUCCCUCAGCAUUAGAUCCUGUAAUGAACCUUUUUAAUUAGCCAUGUUAAAAGAGAGUUCUAAACCAGUUAUAGUAGAUGAGAUUUGUAAAAUAGCUGUUCUUUUGGCUAAAGCCAUGUCUCUCUAAUUAAAACAUGCAGCAGAUUACUCCUUGUGCUUCUUCAGACAUCUCCUGAGAUGGAAAGCAAAUGAGAUGGAAAGCAAAUCCAUGCAGCUCUUCAGUGCAAGGUGUAAUUUGUUAUCUAUUUGUCAUCAGAAUCUGCGUCACUUUCCUGGUUUGAUGGUGAGGCUUGAGCUGGGGAAGUGCUCUGGUUGCUCUCAAGAACUGAGCUGCUUCUUGGUUGUGUUGGUUCUUUGAAAGUUAUUUUCUGCACCAGUAGAUCUCUUCUGCCAAUAGUUUAAUUACUGUGGAUUAUUUUUGGUAUCAUACCGAUGAAUUGGGCGAGCAGAAGGAAAGGGAAUGGGGUUGUCAUGACUACUGUGGUGGGUUUUUUAAUUUUUUAAUUUUCAUACUUCCCUUCAAAAAAUAGUUUUAUCUCUGCAUUUUUCAGCAUGGAUUUUACUUCGCUGAUUUUUAAACUAAUAGUCAUGAAGCCGAAUCUUCAGUUUUUUCUGGAAAUUGCAGAGGAUGCAAAGAUCUGUUUUCUCAUAAAGGAGAACUGAAUUGAUUUGAAACUAUUUUUUGAGUAUUUAAUGAUGUGGCUUUGCAUGGAAUUUCUCAGUAAACAUUUGAAAAACGCAGAUUUAUUUUCCCUGUUGAACUGGUAAGUUUCUUGGAGCUUGCAUCUACUAGCUAUAAUGAUGAUUCCAUUGCUUUAAUUAAAUGAAUGUAAAUCACAGAAUGGUAGGGCUUGGAAAGGACCUCCAGCUGCCCUGCCAAAGCACGUUCCCUGCAGUGGGUCACACAGAGAAGUGUCCAGAUAGGUCUUGAAUAUCUUCAGAGAAGGAGACUCCAGUGCUCUGACAUCCUCCCAGUAAAGAAGUUCUUUGUAUUGUAUGGAAUUUCCUGUGUUCUGGUUUUUGCCCACUGCCCCUCGUCCUGUUGCUGCAUGCUGCUGGAAAGAGCCUGACUUCAUCCAUUUGACUCCAUGCUUUAGGUAUGUUUAAACAGUGAUGGGAUUCCCUCUGUCUUCUGCAGGCUGAGAAGUCCCAGGUCUUUCAGCCUUCCCACAUAAGGAAGAUGCUCCAGGCCACAUCUUGCGGAGGGGGAGAAUUGCCUCCCUUGCCUUGCUGGUCCUGUUCUUUUGAAUGCAUCCCAGGAUGCCGUUGGCCUUCUUGGCAUCAAGGCCACACUGCUGGCUGAUGGGCAGUCUGUUCACCAGGAUUCCCAGGUCCUUCUCAGCAGAGCUCCUCUAGCAUGUCAGUCCCUAACCUGUACUGAUGUGUGCUGUUACUCCUCCUCAUGUAUAGGAAUCUAUACUUGCUCCUGUUGAAGUUCAUCAGGUUCCUCUCUGCUCAAUUCUCUGAUAUGUUCGGGUCUUGCUGAAUGACAGCACAGUGUUCAGGUGUGUCAGUCACUCCUCCCAGCUUUGUAUUGUCAGCAGACAUGGUUUUUAAAGAAUAGAUUUAGCAGUACUUGUGCCUUAGUUGUAGUUAGAAGUAAUAUGUUAUUUUUUUACUCAUGGAAUUGAUUCAGAUCUGUAAUUAUUGUUUAGCAAAGGAAAGGCUGAAGCGAUUCAAGAUAUUUUCAGUCAUUUGAGGGGGCAAAUUCUUUGAGUAAUGAAGUCAGCGUAUUACUGUAAUCCGUAAGAAUGACUGUCUUCUUUUUUUUUUUUUUAAGUACAUCCAUGCUUGACCUUUGCAUUUCUUGGGCCAUGAACAGGGUAGUACACAGGCUGAUGCAGUUCACAGUUCUUGUACUGCCAGUACUUUAUCAGCGCUGACUUAACAGGAAUCCUUUUACUAUGUGGUUAGUACUUGAACAGUUUUAUACUGGGUUUGAGGUUAAUGUAUGUCUCUGAUCUCUUACAUGUUUACUCUCUAAUAAUAGCAGUGUUGCAGCACACCACUCUGAUUCCCAAGUUAGUUUUAGCUUUUGCUGAUGACACAACUAAAUCAGUCUAUGCUGUAAAUAGUUUAGUUCAUGCUGUUGUUUGGUUUAAAUUAGCCCUCGAUGAAUUAGCGUAUUACAUGAGAAGAAUUCCACUUGUCCCAAUGAGUACAGUCAGCAUCACAACUUAAACAGUAAAGGAAUUCUCACUUCUCAUUGUCCUUUAGUUGCUGGCAUCAGUGUUUUCUGUACAGGUUGCUAAUCUCAGGUAAUUAUGGUAUAUGAGUAAUCUAUUUUUUCUUAUUUUGUAUUUUAAAGGAAAACUUUUUCAGUGCUUUGUUACGAUUUACUAUUGUCACACAGUACAAAGAACAGGAGGAGAACACCAGUGGGUUUUGGUGCUGUCCUGGUUUACCUCUGGUGUAAGGUACAAGCUGUUCAUUGUGCUCAGCUGCUUGUCUCAAGUCCCACAACUGAACCACUUGAAAUAGCAGAUGCAGAACAAAGGAUGUGAAUUUGAACAAAGCGUACUAGGACCUUGAAGACUCUUGAUGGUUAAGAUGCUUGAGUGUUGUGUGACGUCUUCAUUUACAGUAUGUUCUUGUUGGUUUUCGAAGUAUGUAAUGCCAAACAUAAGUUUAGUGUAAUAAGUGACUGCCUUUUAUCUUCCAACAAUUCUUUCACAUCCUGUAUGUUGAUAGUUUUUCUCUCUGCUGCCUGCCAUGACCUUGCUUUUUCAAUCUAUGUUCUGUCUCUGCAUUGGAUUUAAAUGUACAGUUAAUUCCACUUGGCUUUGUGUACAACCAGCUCCCUGAAGCAAGGGGAAAAGAACAUAAAAGAAUGCUGAUGUCUUGCUCUGUUCCUUCUUGCUCCAUUUCUAGUUUCCUGGCAGGUUUUGCUGUGUAAUGUAACCAUCCUGUGCUUCAGUGAGUGUAAUCUUUAUUUUUAAAAUGAAUAAUAGAAUUUUGGCAGAGGUUGGCAGCAGUAGAAUAGACUCCUACAUACCCUGAGUGUUUUGUUUCCUUUUUUUUCCCCAAGGUAGUGUGUGUGUGUGUGUGUGUGUGUGUGUAUGGCUAUGACUGAGAGAGACUUAAGUAUUACAUGGUACUGGCUGCCGGCAGCACUCCUUAUGCCAUACUCUCUAUCACCUCUUCCAUCUUUCUUUGCCUUAAAGAAUAUAUAGGUUUAGAUAUAUAAAGCUUCCUUAUUUCAGAAUUGUUUUAAAUGAGGUCAUCUUAGUAAUGAUAUGUGUAUCACUGAAACAUGAAGAAAGAUGCUCUUGAACUGAAAGCCAGGAGUUCUAAUUUGACCCUCUUACUGCUUCUAUGUAUGAGGAUUCUUACUCACUGAAGCUGUCUGCUUGUGGCAAGCAAAAUUAUCACUCACUGUAUUCACAGUUGAGAGUUUUGAUGAGGUCGGUGACCAGUUCUGGCACAGCAUGGCUCUUUCUCCCUCAUCACUGCUAGCUUAGUAACAGGAACAUGUGAGACCUCCGCUGCUUCCUCUGUAGCAAGGUAUGAAUUCCAGAUCAAAUGUUAGAACUUGCUUCUAUGUGAAGAAAUCAGAUUCAACCCCUAAAUGUAUUCCAGACAGGAAUAUCAUUAAAUUUGACUCCAUUGCUUCCAACUGCUAAAAGCAUGCAGACCUGCCAACCAGGGAGAGAACUGAGACAGGCAUGCAUUUCAGAGGUGUAAGGCAGAAGGAAGGAACUAUUGAAUCAGUUAGUCUGACAUCUGGGGUGUUGUGGGUCAUGAUGUGUGACUGUUACCCCCUGCUUUGAGUGUUGUAGCUUGUGAUUGACUAAAAAAUGAACAGACAUUUGCUGAAAAACUUUUUAGAAAGGCACGCUAAUUUUGAAGUUGCUAAGAAAUGGGGACUUAAUAACUUGUUGGUUAAAUACUCUGUACUUUCUUUUUUGUGCUUUUUGCAUUUCUAACCUGGAUAUGUCUAGCUUCUAGUUUACUGUAGUUUCACAGCAAUCUUAAGCUGGCAUAAAAUGGCAGAGCUGCUGAAACAAGCAGUCACUUCCAGCUUUGGUGCCAGCUGGCGUGGCCAAAGUGCUGGCCCCUAGUGCUGGCCUCAUCUCCGUACAGCUGUGCAGGGAACCAACUGCAGAACCUGCAACAAAACCAGUGUUGUGCGGGGCUGGUACCAAAAUCUGGUUCAGAGCAGAGCUGUGUGAACAAAUAAAGGUGGAAAAGGGGCAGGAAUGAGCGGUCAGGGAUGAGAAGUGGAUUAUCAGGGAGUUUAGCUGCCUGUUGGUGGCUGUUUCAGUAGCAGAUGGUGAAACUACAGUUCCUUUCAGCUGUUGGUUCUUGGCCAUUUCAUGCUAGAAAUAAUCGUUACAAUGGUGGCUCAUGUUGUUUCUGCAUCUGUGGCUUGGUCCUCGUGGCAUUAACAUCAUGGCUUUACAACCAUACAUAAAAUAACCACAUCUGUUAUUUCAGCAUAUGUCAGAACUCUGAAAUAAAAAACAUGCAGUUUACGUAGCAAAAGCAGUUUAGAAGCAAAUGUUGAAGUAUUGCUUUGUUGAUAAGUUUUAAUAUCUACUGUGGUGACACUCAGAAAAGGGUCUGGACAGUCUUUCUAUGGGUUUCAUGUGAAGCAAAUUGGUCUCAGUCUUAGCAUGUUGAAAGAGCAAUUUCACAGUAUGAACUAUAUAUAGAAUAAAUAACAGUAAGAACUGUAUUUAAUAUAUUAAAUAUCUAUAUUAUUUUGUAUUUAUACAUAAAAAUAUGUAUCUUCCAAAAAUAAACUCAGUAUUCAAGAAAUAAGUUGAUAGCUAAUAUGUAAUGGGAAGCUGUAAGGUACAGUGAGCUAGACCUUGUAGCUGAUGG
ensembl:lncRNA